UCAAAAUAUUUACGUGGAUGGUUAAUUUGUAAAUGCCAAUGUCUUGGGUGGUCAUACUAAUAAUUUCUAUAAUGAAAAAGAAAGAUAAAAAUAAAUUUUAAUUCUUCGCUCGGUUGAUAAAUCAUCUUUAAAUAUUGCAUUAUUAUUUUGUUGUAAUAUCUAUAUUAACCUAAUAAUUUUUGCCUUCAUUUUCUGAAAAAAAGUAGAAUUGGAGCAAACAUGAAGAACAAGAAGUUCAAGAAAGCCACAAGUGAGCCUUCCAUUGGUUCGCUUCCACUGAACUGCUCGGAGAAAAUUUUGCUAGAAGCUAUUUUCGACUCUUCAUCACCUAUCAGUGAUAUUAAAUAUUUUUGAAAUUGUACAAGAAUUUUCAUGCAACAUGUUCAUCAAAAAGACUAGGAAGGUAAAUGGUUAUUGAAGAUUGGAGCAUGUAUUGACAUGACAAACAAGGAUAUUUAAGAUUUCUUCAGAGUUUUGCUCUUUUCUUGCUUUGAUUGGAGGAGAUGUUGAUUCAAGAAAGAAUUGAUAUUGACUUACAUCAUCUUCAAUUAGGUUCAAGUCGAGGGCGCGUUUCUUCCAAACAUAUCGUGGGAUUAGUGUUGCUAUGUGAAGAGACAACUCGCUUGCUUGGUUUUGAUCUUUUGAAUGAAAUAUCAAAUAAAAUAAAUAAGUGUCCACAACAAGCUCCAAAGUUCUUCUUGAAAAUGAAAUGACAAAAAUGACAUGUAUCACCAUUUAUUUAUUACAACAGUUUGUUUUGUGGAAAACUAACUUCGGAAGCUGAUAAUCUGAUAAUUGACGACUUAGUGAAGACCACGCAACAAGAAGACUUUGUAGUGACGCUCGUAAA